rnacentral:rRNA from 1 species
UACGUAAGGGUGCAAGCGUUGUCCGGAAUUAUUGGGCGUAAAGAGGCUCGUAGGCGGUCUGUCGCGUCGGCUGUGAAAUCCCGAGGCUCAACCUCGGGUCUGCAGUCGAUACGGGCAAACUAGAGUAUUGCAGGGGAGACUGGAAUUCCUGGUGUAGCGGUGAAAUGCGCAGAUACUCAGGAGGAACACCGGUGGCGAAGGCGGGGUCUCUGGGCAAUAACUGACGCUGAGGAGCUGAAAGCGUGGGGAGCGAACAGG